CGCUUGCCUGACGGAGCAAGACCGCGUGCGGGAUGACGGCCUAAUGGUUGUAAACCGCUUUUCUCUGGGAAGAUGAUGACGGUACCAGAGGAAUCAGCCUCGGCUAACUCCGUGCCAGCAGCCGCGGUAAUACGGAGGAGGCAAGCGUUAUCCGGAAUUAUUGGGCGUAAAGCGUCCGUAGGUGGUUAUUCAAGUCUGCUGUCAAAGCGUGGGGCUUAACUCCAUAGAGGCAGUGGAAACUGGUUGACUAGAGUGCGGUAGGGGUCGAGGGAAUUCCCAGUGUAGCGGUGAAAUGCGUAGAUAUUGGGAAGAACACCAGUGGCGAAAGCGCUCGACUGGGCCUGCACUGACACUGAGGGACGAAAGCUAGGGGAGCG
rnacentral:rRNA from 1 species